CCUAACACAAAACCGCAUAGGUCCGGAUAGAUUUGAAACCACCUCCGAGGGUGGUUUCAGAAAUGUGCGGUUUCCGGCACCGUCUGGACGGUCGGCCGAACGGACAAGACUUAUGCGGUUUCACCAAAAAAUCGGCUUUGUGUGGACGGGGCCUUAGAAGGCGAACACACGUUCACCAAGACGGGGAGACAGCGCCGGGCGAUUUACGCCACUAUCUGCCAAUGGAUCGUGCGUGGAUGCCUGGGCUGAUAUAUCAGUCUCAACUGUGGUCCAAGCUUUCACAAAGGCAGGAAUAAUCACUGAACUGCAAGGCAACAGCAACAACACUGACUCAGAUAAUGACGAGAGGGAGCCGGGCAUGUUGGAUGCCGUACUCGCCCAACUGUUCAAUUCGGACACUGAAGAAGAGGAAUUCGAGGGAUUCGUGGACGGGGAAUGAACUAAAAAAAAGCUUUCUCAUUCCACUCAUUCAUUUGAUGAGAAGUGGCUGAAGGGAAGGAAAUUCUCGGGAUGGAUAAUACUUCUGCCAGAUUGAUUAAGAGUGGCGGAUGUCCUGAAGCACCUAUACGUCCUGACAUUCAACCCAUGGUCAAACGCCUAAAGCACUCCUCGCCCCAACACAUUUACGGGAAUUGUUAGCGAGUGCAUUGAUUAUCUGUUCAUUUGACAGUUAAUCUGCUGUGUCUAGGGCCAC
ensembl:lncRNA